CCCUUAGAUGUUCUGGGCCGCACACGCGCUACACUGAAGGAGGCAGCGUGUACUCCUGGAUCGAAAGAUUGGGUAACCCGCGAAUCUCCUUCGUGCUAGGGAUUGAGGUUUGCAAUUAUCCUUCAUGAACGAGGAAUUCCCAGUAAGUGCAAGUCAUAAGCUUGCGCUGACUACGUCCCUGCCCUUUGUACACACCGCCCGUCGCUACUACCGAUUGAAUGAUUUAGUGAGGACUUCGGACUGGGACCGAUGCGGCUUUCGGGCUGCGUCGGUAUUCUGGAAAGAUGUCCAAACUGUAUCAUUUAGAGGAAGUAAAAGUCGUAACA
rnacentral:rRNA from 1 species